rnacentral:rRNA from 1 species
CAAUAGCGUAUAUUAAAGUUGUUGCAGUUAAAAAGCUCGUAGUUGGAUUUCUGAUCGAGACAUCAGGUCGGGUCCGAGAGGAUCAUGUACUUUGAUUUUGUUUUGAUCAUCCUUGGGGAGAGCAUUUCUGGCAUUCAGUUGUCGGGAUUGGGAUCCUCAUCGUUUACUGUGAAAAAAUUAGAGUGUUCAAAGCAGGCCUCGGCCUCUGAAUACAUUAGCAUGGAAUAAUAAGAUAGGACUUUGGUGGUCUAUUUUGUUGGUUUGCACGCCAAAGUAAUGAUUAAUAGGGAUAGUUGGGGGUAUUCGUACUCAAUUGUCAGAGGUGAAAUUCUUGGAUUUAUGGAAGACGAACUACUGCGAAAGCAUUUACCAAGGAUGUUUUCAUUAA